GGGGGUGUAGCUCAGUGGUGGAGGGCAUGCUUGGCAUGUACGAGGUCCUGAGUUCAAUCCCCAGUGCCUCCA
rnacentral:tRNA from 1 species